UACGUAGGGUGCAAGCGUUAAUCGGAAUUACUGGGCGUAAAGCGUGCGCAGGCGAUCUGUUAAGACCGAUGUGAAAUCCCCGGGCUUAACCUGGGAACUGCAUUUGUGACUGCAUGGCUGGAGUGCGGCAGAGGGGGAUGGAAUUCCGCGUGUAGCAGUGAAAUGCGUAGAUAUCAGGAGGAACACCGGUGGCGAAGGCGGUUCUCUGGGCAUUACCUGACGCUGAGGAGCGAAAAGUGUGGGGGAGGCGAAACAGG
rnacentral:rRNA from 1 species